GACGAACGCUGGCGGCGUGCCUAACACAUGCAAGUCGAACGCGAAAGCCCCUUCGGGGGUAAGUAGAGUGGCGUCCGGGUGAGUAACACGUAGGUAAUCUACCUUCGGGUGGGGAAUAACCAGUCGAAAGAUUGGCUAAUACCGCAUAAUGCAGCGGCACCUAAUGGUGAUUAGUUGUUAAAGCGGGGGAUCGUAAGACCUCGCGCCUGAAGAGGAGCCUGCGGCAGAUUAGCUAGUUGGUGAGGUAAUGGCUCACCAAGGCUUCGAUCUGUAGCUGGUCUGAGAGGACGGCCAGCCACACUGGCACUGACACACGGGCCAGACUCCUACGGGAGGCAGCAGCGGGGAAUUUUGGGCAAUGGGCGAAAGCCUGACCCAGCAACGCCGCGUGAGGGAGGAAAUCCUUCGGGAUGUAAACCUCACAAGCAAGGGAAGAGAGCUCAGGGGCCGAAUAAGCUUUGAGUCCGACGGUACCUUGCGUAAGCCACGGCUAACUACGUGCCAGCCGCCGC
rnacentral:rRNA from 1 species